GAUGAACGCUAGCUACAGGCUUAACACAUGCAAGUCGAGGGGAAACGAUAGAGAAAGCUUGCUUUUUCUAGGCGUCGACCGGCGCACGGGUGAGUAACGCGUAUCCAACCUGCCCAUCACUUGGGGAUAACCUUGCGAAAGUAAGACUAAUACCCAAUGAUAUCUCUAGAAGACAUCUGAAAGAGAUUAAAGAUUUAUCGGUGAUGGAUGGGGAUGCGUCUGAUUAGCUUGUUGGCGGGGUAACGGCCCACCAAGGCGACGAUCAGUAGGGGUUCUGAGAGGAAGGUCCCCCACAUUGGAACUGAGACACGGUCCAAACUCCUACGGGAGGCAGCAGUGAGGAAUAUUGGUCAAUGGACGAGAGUCUGAACCAGCCAAGUAGCGUGCAGGAUGACGGCCCUAUGGGUUGUAAACUGCUUUUAUAAGGGAAUAAAGUGAGUCUCGUGAGGCUUUUUGCAUGUACCUUAUG
rnacentral:rRNA from 1 species